UUAUGUGCUUUUUUUUAUCCUUUAACAGGAAUUUUGAGAUGCCAUGCUGAUAUGUACUAUGCUACAACAAAAAUAGAAUUUCUUGAUUGUAUGGAAGGGCUUGCAUAACACUAAGGUUUCAGAUUGUAAAGGUUUCAGUUUUGGUGCUGGUGAAAGGUUUUUGACGUCUCCUGAACCGUUGUAUUCUUCUAUACCUUUGCUGGAGCAAUUUCCAAUGAUUGAGACGUGGUAAGCCGGAGGAUUUAACAACACCUCCAGAUGUACAUGGACGCAGCUGCUUCUUCGGUCGAUAGUGCUAACUCAUGGUGUCGCAAUAGCUGGAGCAGGUGUUUUGAUCUGCAUGGAUUCUUAUAGCUUGUCAGU